ACGGACACAUCACGUUGAGACACCAGUUCUCAUACGAUUCCUGAAGUUAAGCAACGUUGAGCCUGGUCAGUACUUAGAUGGGUGACGGCUUGGGAAUACCAGGUGCUGUAAGC